rnacentral:ncRNA from 1 species
GAUCUCGCGAGAGUUCGUCCGGAGGAAGCCGGAGUACGAAGUUAUGGGCCGACGAACAGAAAUGGCAUCUAAGGCCGAGUUUCCGGGUAAGUCAGCACAACAUGACAAAGCCCUGGGUUUGGGAGAUACGGUAAAUGCCGCGGUCGUGUAACGAAAGAUCAAGUU